CUCUAAAAAAAAAGAAGAAAAAAGGCUAUGGAUUUUAAAAACGGAAUUACACAUUUUAAAAAUCCAAUAUUAGUUAAUACCUCUAAAGAAGCUCAAAACAGUUAUAUCCUAGUUCAAUUAUACCAAAUGCCUAAAAAUAUGAAACUAUAUAUUUGCCAAGAUGACUCCUACUUUUAAAACCAGGCAAGAUCAAAUAAAAGCCUGCAAACCUGCAUGGCCUCACCCUAAGAGAUAUAUUCAUAUCAUUUAAUGGUAGACUGAUCUAAUUAAUGACUAAAUACAAGUCUAAUAAUAUGCCAAUAUCUUUGAAAUUAUAUAUCCUGUUAAUAUGAGUUCCAUAUUAACAAAAAACCAGGGUGUGGCCUGUGAUUUAUUGGUUGGUUUUUGUCCAUGGUUCCUGGUUUAUAACUCCCAUAGCCUUUGUUAGUCUUUUGUUAUAAUGUUGGGUCAGAAGCAGGUCCCAGAAGAUAGAUUCUCUCUCUGACCUUCUGCUGCCUUCCUUUCACCUGCUGCUUUUUCUCCCCAAGGCAGGAAUCAUCUCCAGCUUUUCUGUUUUAGAGACUGACCUAAAAAAAUUCUCUGACCUACCUUGUCUGAUUUUAGGUCACAAGGCACUCAUUUGAAAAGAGAUCCUGAGUCAUACCUUGGAGGAAGAAAUGCUAUACGGAAAGUUGUCAGUCAUGUCUAUCCAAUAAAGCCUCCAUAAAAGGCACAAGAGGACAGGGUUUGGGGAGCUUUUGGAUAGAUGAACACAUAGAGACUUACAGGAAGGUGGAAGGUAAACAAAAA
rnacentral:lncRNA from 1 species